UACGUAGGGGGCUAGCGUUGUCCGGAAUCAUUGGGCGUAAAGCGCGUGUAGGCGGUCCGGUAAGUCCGCUGUGAAAGUCGGGGGCUCAACCCUCGGAUGCCGGUGGAUACUGUCGGGCUUGAGUACGGAAGAGGCGAGUGGAAUUCCUGGUGUAGCGGUGAAAUGCGCAGAUAUCAGGAGGAACACCGGUGGCGAAGGCGGGUCUCUGGGCCGAUACUGACGCUGAGGAGCGAAAGCAUGGGUAGCGAACAGG
rnacentral:rRNA from 1 species